UGUCUAGUUGUUGUUUUAUUCCUACUAUUUGGUAUUUUUCUUUGUGAAAGGGAUAGGGUACUUUCAAAAUCUUUCUUAUCUAAUCAAAAACAAAAAUUUAUUCUAUAGAAACACUGAGUAUAUGUAUUAAACCUAAUAUAUCCAAUUGAUAAUUUAUUGUUAAUAUUUUAAUUAGAAAAGAUGACUUCGAAACAACCCACAUUUCAGAUAUAAAUAGAAAUAUGCAUAAGAAGACUUUUUUGGAGAAAAAAUAAAGUAACCAUCACUGUCAUCUAUGCAAUUAAGUAGAUGCACUGUAAAGAUCAAAAGAUAAUCUGAUUGUUCACGGAAGCCCAAUGUGAGGAAAACAACCAAAUUUGGUGGGAGUAGAUGGGCUCCAUGAUCUUGUCUUGACCUCUACAACACAAAGACUGGAAUAAUGGUUGUGAAGACGUUGAUAACAAUCACAAUGAUGUCAGAUGAACGUAACCGGUCAAAUGUGAUGCAAUGCCACAGAAUUACCUUUCUUAUUAGAUCAGGGAAAAUGGUUUAUGUUCCAAUAUUAAAAGUGGGACUUCUGGUUUAAGGAAAUUGGUGUUGACAUUGGUUUUUGUGACCUGAAAGACAGGUGAAGGACAUUCAUGUGUUUCUUUUUCCAUAUAAAAAUUGGUUACAUACAUUCCUUCCUGCACAAGAAACCUACCCUUAACGCUUAGGCAGCUUUCCCGUUUUGUUCGCAGACUGUACGGCUAUGUGCUGAGGAGCGCUUCAGACGUGCGAGAGACUUACAUGCAGUGGGGUAACAUGCCACACCAAGCUAGGCCUCCUGGUUAUGUAACCGUUGGUAGCAUUCCCUGGAGCAAUCCUACAGCUGCCUGCUUUUUUCACUGAGACUGCACAUUCAAUCUUCCUCACUCAAUAUCUGUACAUUUCUAUAUGCUCAUGGGCAUUCAGAUCUUGGAAAUUAUAGGGUCUAGCAUUCCCCUGACUCUCUGCAGAAUUUAGUGUUUGUUUAGAAGAGAUUUGUUUCUCCAUGUAUGGAAGAGAUUGUUUCCAAAAUGUUUGUUUGACUGAACAAUUGUGUAAAAUUGUAAUGGAGGAUGGCUUUCAAGGAUUUUAAAAAAACAUUGUUUAUAGAGAAUCAUUAUAUAUGGUGUCCAGUAAUUUCUUGA